rnacentral:SRP_RNA from 1 species
GGAGGCUGGCGGCGGACGGGUCCCUCGCCAACCCGGUCAGGUCCGGAAGGAAGCAGCCGUAACGAGCCCGGCCCGGGCUGCCCGUUCAGUCUCCCAC